rnacentral:lncRNA from 1 species
CUUCCUUUCGGCUGGCCUGGUCUCAGUUUUGACCAAGGCGUUACUCGCUUAUCCCUGCUGGGCUUUAGUCGUACCGCCAUGAAUGCGCGUCAUCAUGCACGGGUGACUCGAAUCUUCGUCCAUAUCCUUCCCUUCUUUAAUCUCGGCCGUCCACUAGAUAAACCAAACCUUGCUCCCGUACGUGUGCGCACGGGGCGUACGUACGAAUCCAUGGCCGAUCUGGCCAAUUAAACAAUGGCUGAC